rnacentral:sRNA from 1 species
UCACCUGCUCCUUGUCCUUCACGGACCCUC